GCGGGGGUUGCAGAGCCUGGAAAACGCGCAGGACUUAAGAUCCUGUCCUUAGUGGUCCGUCGGUUCAAAUCCGACCCCCCGCA
rnacentral:tRNA from 1 species